GGGUCCUUAGCUCAAUUGGUAGAGCGCCUGCUUUGCAAGCAGGAGGUCGCGAGUUCGAUUCUCGCAGGAUCCA
rnacentral:tRNA from 1 species